rnacentral:tRNA from 1 species
GCCUCGUUAGCUCAGUCGGUAGAGCAUCCGAAGUAGCUGUGGCUACUGGUGAACCUUGUAAGCGGAGGGUCGUGGGUUCAAAUCCCACACGAGGCU